rnacentral:tRNA from 1 species
UCCCUGGUGGUCCAGUGGGUAAGACUCUGCACUCCUAAUGCAGAGGGCCCAGGUUCGAUCCCUGGUCAGGAAA